AGGAGCUGGAGGAAAAGUGCCGGCAGCCGCCCUGGGAGCUGCUGCAGGACAGCAGAGACAUCCUGAGCAGGCUGGAGGAGCAGAGCGCCCCAGAGCAGGUGGAGACCUCAGCAGAGCUGGCAGAGGAACCCACAGGGCUGCCCCAGGAAAAUGUCACUCUCAAGGAGAUGCUGAAGAAAUUCCAAGGUAGGGAGGGAGCAGGGAAAGGGGGGUGGGCGCUGUGUCAGUACCACCUUUGGAAA
rnacentral:lncRNA from 1 species